CCCUGACUACUUGCAGGAAGAUCCACAGGAAAGGUCUCUAGACGGGGAAAGCGGAGGAGAUGCCCUCGACGGCGGAGGAGAUGCCCUCGACAGAGGUGAUCGUCGAUCAAUUGGAUCACACUCCUACACAAGCAACAACAUUACAAAUUAUUAACUUAAUCCGUAAUUGUUAACUCAUACAAAACGAUAAUCAAUAGAUUUUAUUCAAUUCGCUCACCCAAUCUCGAUCGUGAAUCGGAUCUGACAUCUGGUCGUUUUAGGUGUGCGAAACACCUAAUUCACGCACAAGACGCUGAGCCUCCUCCUCCAUCGACGGCGUCAACUUAGUUAUGACUUCAAACUGACAUAUUAACAUUUGAAAUAGUUAACGAUCAUGCAAUCAGAUGUUAAAUCACGCACAAUAUAAAUUACAAAUGCAUAAUACUCACCUGAGGAUCAUCGAGGAUAGCCGAUAACUGUUUUCGAGUGGGACAUCUUUCCGAUCGAAAUGCUCUCCAAUGAUGCAUCCGAGGACAGUAUGUCUCCCCUCACCUCGCAAAGCGGGCACCCAAUAUGGGGACGGUCUCAUACGCCCAGAUCUGCAACACAUACAAUUAUUAUAUAUAAAUUCAAUAUGAAAAUAAUGUUAACAUUCAUUAUAUUAACCAUUUACCUGCACCUCCAUGGGCAAUCC
rnacentral:lncRNA from 1 species